GUGGCUGAGGACCGAAAUGGAAGCGUAAAAAAAAAAAAAAAAAGGCGUACCUCGAUCCUGAACCCAAACCGGCAAUCUUGGCGUUUCACUAAAGUUAUGGAGAAAAACCAAACCCCCGUGUAACCACCCGUACGUGCUAAGAAUGGCAGCACGGUGUACGGAGUACGGUACGGUACGGUGUCAUCAUAAGGUUAUAAGGCUGUCGCAGCUCGCUAGGUAUGUAUGAGACGAUGCCAGGAGAGGAAGAGCUCCGCGCGAGAGAGCUCCUUGGUAGGACAGGAAAACAACGCGAGAUACGAGCAGCUCAUUUUAUAUUUCUUCGUUUUUUGGGGUUCGAUUGAACUUCGGUUGG
rnacentral:sRNA from 1 species